GAAAGUAAUGCAUCAGGAGAAGAAGAAUAUAAUAUUUCGGGCCUAGGAAGCUCCUUGUCGAUGCGCGAUUGCUCAAUGGGUAGCGAGACUGCUUUGAAAAUACCAGAUACUGCUGAGCCAAACCCAAGCAGAAUUUACACAACCACCAUGACUGAAGCAACAAGGGCUGAGUCAGUGAGAGUUGAGCCAUUUAGAGGGGACUUUGAUCCCACUUAUCAAGAUGCUAUAUCCUUACAUACAUCCAGCGAUUAUUCACCAUCCCUUCCUUACAUUCAACCAGUCCAAAUGACACAAACAGGCAUUGUUCUCCCUCAGCUCGUGCAUUACGCACAGCCAAUGAACAAGACAAGGAACAGAGAAUACGUGUAACAACAGCACUCAUCUCAUGACCAAUACGAAAAUACAUACAUACAUACAUAUAUAUAUAUAUAUAUCGAUUUAAAUAAGAGCUAAAAUCUGA
rnacentral:lncRNA from 1 species